rnacentral:rRNA from 1 species
GUUAAGCGACUAAGCGUACACGGUGGAUGCCCUGGCAGUCAGAGGCGAUGAAGGACGUGCUAAUCUGCGAUAAGCGUCGGUAAGGUGAUAUGAACCGUUAUAACCGGCGAUUUCCGAAUGGGGAAACCCAGUGUGAUUCGUCACACUAUCAUUAACUGAAUCCAUAGGUUAAUGAGGCGAACCGGGGGAACUGAAACAUCUAAGUACCCCGAGGAAAAGAAAUCAACCGAGAUUCCCCCAGUAGCGGCGAGCGAACGGGGAGCAGCCCAGAGCCUGAAUCAGUGUGUGUGUUAGUGGAAGCGUCUGGAAAGGCGCGCGAUACAGGGUGACAGCCCCGUACACAAAAAUGCACAUGCUGUGAGCUCGAUGAGUAGGGCGGGACACGUGGUAUCCUGUCUGAAUAUGGGGGGACCAUCCUCCAAGGCUAAAUACUCCUGACUGACCGAUAGUGAACCAGUACCGUGAGGGAAAGGCGAAAAGAACCCCGGCGAGGGGAGUGAAAAAGAACCUGAAACCGUGUACGUACAAGCAGUGGGAGCACGCUUAGGCGUGUGACUGCGUACCUUUUGUAUAAUGGGUCAGCGACUUAUAUUCUGUAGCAAGGUUAACCGAAUAGGGGAGCCGAAGGGAAACCGAGUCUUAACUGGGCGUUAAGUUGCAGGGUAUAGACCCGAAACCCGGUGAUCUAGCCAUGGGCAGGUUGAAGGUUGGGUAACACUAACUGGAGGACCGAACCGACUAAUGUUGAAAAAUUAGCGGAUGACUUGUGGCUGGGGGUGAAAGGCCAAUCAAACCGGGAGAUAGCUGGUUCUCCCCGAAAGCUAUUUAGGUAGCGCCUCGUGAAUUCAUCUCCGGGGGUAGAGCACUGUUUCGGCAAGGGGGUCAUCCCGACUUACCAACCCGAUGCAAACUGCGAAUACCGGAGAAUGUUAUCACGGGAGACACACGGCGGGUGCUAACGUCCGUCGUGAAGAGGGAAACAACCCAGACCGCCAGCUAAGGUCCCAAAGUCAUGGUUAAGUGGGAAACGAUGUGGGAAGGCCCAGACAGCCAGGAUGUUGGCUUAGAAGCAGCCAUCAUUUAAAGAAAGCGUAAUAGCUCACUGGUCGAGUCGGCCUGCGCGGAAGAUGUAACGGGGCUAAACCAUGCACCGAAGCUGCGGCAGCGACGCUGAUGCGUUGUUGGGUAGGGGAGCGUUCUGUAAGCCUGUGAAGGUGUGCUGUGAGGCAUGCUGGAGGUAUCAGAAGUGCGAAUGCUGACAUAAGUAACGAUAAAGCGGGUGAAAAGCCCGCUCGCCGGAAGACCAAGGGUUCCUGUCCAACGUUAAUCGGGGCAGGGUGAGUCGACCCCUAAGGCGAGGCCGAAAGGCGUAGUCGAUGGGAAACAGGUUAAUAUUCCUGUACUUGGUGUUACUGCGAAGGGGGGACGGAGAAGGCUAUGUUGGCCGGGCGACGGUUGUCCCGGUUUAAGCGUGUAGGCUGGUUUUCCAGGCAAAUCCGGAAAAUCAAGGCUGAGGCGUGAUGACGAGGCACUACGGUGCUGAAGCAACAAAUGCCCUGCUUCCAGGAAAAGCCUCUAAGCAUCAGGUAACAUCAAAUCGUACCCCAAACCGACACAGGUGGUCAGGUAGAGAAUACCAAGGCGCUUGAGAGAACUCGGGUGAAGGAACUAGGCAAAAUGGUGCCGUAACUUCGGGAGAAGGCACGCUGAUAUGUAGGUGAAGCGACUUGCUC